CCCAACACCCCCUUACACUGAAACAGCGACGACAGCGUACAAUCCGGCGGGUUGACGCGCUCUGGCACUGGACGGCGGGCACAUCUGCUCUGAUUAAUCACCUGCUUCGCCUCGCGCAUACAUUUCAUUAUCGGCUUUAAGUGGGCGCAAACAACGAGGCUUUGAGGCGAACGAGCUGUGACGAGAGGGAAGAUGAAAGGUGGCAGAAAUGAGAGUCAUUUAUCAGUCCACUGUCAAUGGAACCAAGUGAGGCACUGACCCUGAUCCAACCCCGAGAUUCACUCUUGGUGGGUUGAACAUUUUCCGAGCUGGUCGCGAGUGAGACGUUGCAACUCUGACUUUGCCUUCCCUCUGAAAAGUGAAGUACAGCAAAUCAUAGCAUAGCAAGCAAACAGGCAGCUGACAUCUGACCUGCCUGCGAGCUGACUGCGGGCUUCUAUCUGUGUCCCUCCAGACGUGACCGGGCCGUGCCCAGCCUGGUCGGGCAUGAAGCUGAGAGAGUGCCAGCCAAUGUCAUGCCAAGCCGGCGCUCCAGCAUUCCCGACUAGGCAUCAUCUCAUAAACAGAACGCUCUUCCAAACGAGUGUCGACUGGGCGGAUGGAUGAGCUGCCAAAAAGCUGCUCAAUCAAGAUGCCCGGCGUCCAGCUUUGCUCCUCUCGACACAAGAACCCAC